rnacentral:tRNA from 1 species
CGGGGUGUGGCGCAGCUGGUAGCGCGCGACGUUUGGGACGUCGAUGCCGCAGGUUCGAACCCUGUCACUCCGACCA